GACGAACGCUGGCGGCGUGCUUAACACAUGCAAGUCGAACGGAAAGGCCCUGCUUUUGUGGGGUGCUCGAUUGGCGAACGGGUGAGUAACACGUGAGUAACCUGCCCUUGACUUUGGGAUAACUUCAGGAAACUGGGGCUAAUACCGGAUAGGAGCUCCUGCUGCAUGGUGGGGGUUGGAAAGUUUCGGCGUUUGGGGAUGGACUCGCGGCUUAUCAGCUUGUUGGUGGGGUAGUGGCUUACCAAGGCUUUGACGGGUAGCCGGCCUGAGAGGGUGACCGGCCACAUUGGGACUGAGAUACGGACCAGACUCCUACGGGAGGCAGCAGUGGGGAAUAUUGCACAAUGGGCGGAAGCCUGAUGCAGCAACGCCGCGUGCGGGAUGACGGCCUUCGGGUUGUAAACCGCUUUCGCCUGUGACGACGCGUGAGUGACGGUAAUGGGUAAAGAAGCACCGGCUAACUACGUG
rnacentral:rRNA from 1 species